rnacentral:rRNA from 1 species
UGGGGAAUAUUGCACAAUGGAGGGAACUCUGAUGCAGCGACGCCGCUUGAGUGAUGAAGGAAUUCGUUUCGUAAAACUCUGUUCUAUGGGAAGAAAAGGACUGUACCAUAGGAGAAAGCUCCGGCUAAAUACGUGCCAGCAGCCGCGGUAAUACGUAUGGAGCGAGCGUUGUCCGGAAUUAUUGGGCGUAAAGGGUGCGCAGGCGGCUUUACAAGUUGGAUGUGAAAUAUUGUGGCUCAACCACAAACGUGCAUCCAAAACUGCAAAGCUUGAGUUAAGGAGAGGUAAGUAGAAUUCCUGGUGUAGCGGUGGAAUGCGUAGAUAUCAGGAGGAAUACCGGUGGCGAAGGCGACUUACUGGACUUAAACUGACGCUCAGGCACGAAAGCGUGGGGAGCAAACAGG